GUGGGGAAUAUUCCGCAAUGGACGAAAGUCUGACGGAGCAACGCCGCGUGAGUGAUGAAGGUUUUCGGACUGUAAAGCUCUGUUGUUUAGGACGAAAGUGCCUGUUGCGAACAGUUACAGGUAUUGACGGUACUAAACGAGGAAGCCACGGCUAACUACGUGCCAGCAGCCGCGGUAAUACGUAGGUGGCAAGCGGUGUCCGGAAUUAUUGGGCGUAAAGAGCAUGUAGGCGGAGAUUUAAGUCUGUUGUGGAAAUGCGGGGCUCAACCCCGUAUUGCGAUGGAGACUGAAGUUCUUGAGUGCAGGAGAGGAAAGGGGAAUUCCCAGUGUAGCGGUGAAAUGCGUAGAUAUUGGGAGGAACACCAGUGGCGAAGGCGCCUUUCUGGACUGUGUCUGACGCUGAGAUGCGAAAGCCAGGGUAGCGAACGGGAUUAGAUACCCCAGUAGUCC
rnacentral:rRNA from 1 species